rnacentral:lncRNA from 1 species
UUGCGAAUAGAGAGUCGUCGAACACAGGUAUCGAUCUUGAUUGUGUGACUAUUUCAACUGCAUCCGUGAAGCUGCCAGAUACUAACGUUGGGCUGAUAACAAGUACAGAAGACCGCUUGGGUAGGAGAAAGAAGAGGAAAGAUUGAAGAUUUUGGUCGACUGUCAGAGGACGGUUUGGGUUGAGGAAGGUUUUGAUAGAAGAAUUAAUAGAGGAAGACAGAAGGCGAAACAAAGAAGAGAGAGAGAGAGAGGAGAACGGGAAAGAAGGAAAAGAAGAAGAAGUGAGACGCAGAAGUCAGAUUAGUUUUUUGUCAUUUGCAGUCUCUGUAAAGGUUCAGGGAGGAAAGGACAAAUCAAUUUACGUUUGUUUUGGAGAAGGUGUGAACUGUGUUGUUUUUCUAAUCGAGUUUAUGGCAUCUGCAACUAUGAUUUUGGGAACAGUGUGCUGUCGGAUAGUACGUCAACGAUCGUGA